GGUUAUGGCUCAGUGGUAGAGCGCUUGCCUAGCACGUAUGAAGGAUUGGGUUCAAUCCUCAGCACCA
rnacentral:tRNA from 1 species